UCCUGUGUGGCCUCAGUUGGUAGAGCAUGGCUCUUGCACCGUCAGGGUUGUGGGUUCGAUUCCCACUGGGGGAC
rnacentral:tRNA from 1 species